rnacentral:rRNA from 1 species
CCUACGGGGGGCAGCAGUGGGGGAUAUUGCACAAUGGGGGAAACCCUGAUGCAGCGACGCCGCGUGUGGGAAGACGGUCUUCUGGAUUGUAAACCACUAUCCCCAGGGACGAAAAUGACGGUACCUGGGGAGGAAGCUCCGGCUAACUACGUGCCAGCAGCCGCGGUAAUACGUAGGGGGCAAGCGUUAUCCGGAUUCACUGGGUGUAAAGGGAGCGUAGACGGCCAUGCAAGCCUGGAGUGAAAGCCCGG